UACGUAGGUGGCAAGCGUUGUCCGGAUUUAUUGGGUUUAAAGGGUGCGUAGGCGGCUUUGUAAGUCAGUGGUGAAAUAUGGCAGCUCAACUGUCAGGGUGCCAUUGAUACUGCGGAGCUUGAGUACAGAUGAGGUAGGCGGAAUUGACGGUGUAGCGGUGAAAUGCUUGGAUAUCGUCAAGAACACCGAUAGCGAAGGCAGCUUACUGGGCUGUAACUGACGCUGAGGCACGAAAGUGUGGGGAUCAAACAGG
rnacentral:rRNA from 1 species